rnacentral:rRNA from 1 species
UACGUAGGGUGCGAGCGUUGUCCGGAAUUAUUGGGCGUAAAGAGCUUGUAGGCGGUUUGUCGCGUCUGCUGUGAAAAUCCGGGGCUCAACCCCGGACUUGCAGUGGGUACGGGCAGGCUAGAGUGUGGUAGGGGAGACUGGAAUUCCCGGUGUAGCGGUGAAAUGCGCAGAUAUCGGGAAGAACACCCGUGGCGAAGGCGGCUCUCUGGGACGGUACUGACGCUGAGACGCGAAAGCGUGGGGAGCGAACAGG